rnacentral:lncRNA from 1 species
GGGCUCCGGGCGGCUCCUCGUCACGCGGCGUGGGCGCCCGGAGCGCCGUGGAGAGCCCCCCGCGGAAAGCUGCGCGCUCGCCCCUCAGCCGCGCCGCCUUGGCCCGUCGGGCUCAGGGCAGGGCAGGGCUGGGGCUGCUCCCUCGGGAGCGAGGAGGCGCCGGGCUGGAUGGCUGGAUGGUCUCAGGUGCUGGAUGGUUGCAUCGCCCCAGCCGGGCUCGGCCGUGGGAAGCUAUUUGGACCACGCUGCUUUUGGCGCUCGAAUCCCACGGUGCUCCAGCUUCUCGAAACGAAGCAAGUCUCACCCGAAGCAAAUUACACACGUUCCAGCAGCAAUUUACUUUUCCUGAAAGCUGUAGUACACUAUCAAAGUGACAAGCUGUUCUCAAGUUAAAAUAGAAUCCGAUCUCUAAAGUUUUGUCCUUCUGGAGGAAUUAAUAAUUUUUUCCUGGACCAAGCCACUGUGCUUCUGACAUGUACUGUCCCACUGAGCUGUUUAUCUGCCAAAGUGAAAUCCUGGAUAAAUACAUGGAAUCUUCCAGUUUUGCUUGAACAUGACUUGUGCUGAUUGAGAGAGUAUGUCUGGAGAAACACAGCUGGAUGGCAGCCAAAGAGAUACAUCACUGCCCUCACAGUUUGGAGCAUCCAGUCAGUGCUUCGCUAUGAUGGACACACUGACUGUUUUUGAUGUUUGCUUUUUGAAAAACAGUUUCUGCUUUUCUUCUGCUGCCAGAUGCAAGCCUGCAGCCACAGUAGCAUCCUUAAAUGCCCUAGGAUGUUCCUGCCUGUCAAAGAUUUCUCCUCUUGUUGUAGCUGGAAUGGUUAUGAGAUGGUCUCCUGAAGCUCCCUUCACCACUGUUCUCUGCUCCAACAUGUCCUGGGCAGUUUCAGCUGAGGGCAGAGGUGCAGCCAUGGGCAGCAGCGAGGCAGGAUGCAGUGCUCCAUGGAGGGAGGGGCACCAAUGCAUGGGGCUGAGCUGA